CCUCAGCAGCACCAGUGCACUGACUGUCACUCUGUGUCCUCUUAGGUCCUGCUAAGGUCUUACAAGACCUCAUCAUAGAAGACAUUGAGGAUGAUGAGCUGUUCCCUGAUGUGGAGAAGCCAGCGGUGCAGUAUCACCACCGUCCUGUUGAGGUCCCACAGGACCUCAUCAUAGAAGACAUUAAAGAUGAUGAGCUAUUCCCUGAUGUGGACACCGUGACAGCCCCAAGUGACCUCCAUCUAAGUGAUGAGUCGGGGGAUUUUCUUGCUUUUGUCUGGAAAACCUCCCUAGCUUCAGGUUCCUGAUAGGUGUGAGGAUCUGGGGUGUGCUGUGAGAAACAGAUGGCUCCAUGAAGAUCUCAGCUCUGAGACAGAAUAAAUGCUCCAAAAAAAACUCCUCA
rnacentral:lncRNA from 13 species